CUGUUGUGUUGCACGCAUUAAAGGGACACUGAAAGGAAAAAUUAUUUUUUCUGUAUCAGUGGAUUACCCUUCCACAAUACCGAAAACACCACUCUUACCGCGAGAAGCCGCUUAGUAAGCCAGAAAGAAAC
rnacentral:lncRNA from 1 species